CGGUUUGAAUAAAUAUAAUUUUCAAAUCAAUACUUUACUUAGCAAAGUCUCAGUGUGGAAAUCAUUUGUAUAUCUGAACGCAAGGUAUUAAAACGUUAUAAAAGCGAUCAACAAGAUGAAUUAUCUAUGCGUCUUGGUAAUUUUGAUGCUUCUCAUGCAAUUUACCGUCAACUGUAAAGAUUUAAAGUUGCGACCGCAAACCGCGAAGGAUUUUAAAGGAAGACCCAGGCGCCUCUAAUAUAUAUAUGUUUAUACGUGCAGAUAUUUGUUAUAAAUUGGUUAAUUAAACAAAUAUGUUCUUUGUGAACAAUUUUAUUGUUAUUCUGAUACUUUCUUAUCUUCGAAUGUAGUCUAAAAUUUAAAAGAAGCCCUAAGGUUUUUUAGUUUAUAACAAUCAAAAAACUUGUAAAAACAAAGAUUUUAAUAAAACGCACAGUUCAUUAUUUAUUAAUAAUUAAUGGUAGUCGAAUGUGUCCAGUA